rnacentral:rRNA from 1 species
GACGAACGCUGGCGGCGUGCCUAAUACAUGCAAGUUGAGCGAUGAAGAUUGGUGCUUGCACCAAUUUGAAGAGCAGCGAACGGGUGAGUAACGCGUGGGGAAUCUGCCUUUGAGCGGGGGACAACAUUUGGAAACGAAUGCUAAUACCGCAUAACAACUUUAAACAUAAGUUUUAAGUUUGAAAGAUGCAAUUGCAUCACUCAAAGAUGAUCCCGCGUUGUAUUAGCUAGUUGGUGAGGUAAAGGCUCACCAAGGCGAUGAUACAUAGCCGACCUGAGAGGGUGAUCGGCCACAUUGGGACUGAGACACGGCCCAAACUCCUACGGGAGGCAGCAGUAGGGAAUCUUCGGCAAUGGACGAAAGUCUGACCGAGCAACGCCGCGUGAGUGAAGAAGGUUUUCGGAUCGUAAAACUCUGUUGGUAGAGAAGAACGUUGGUGAGAGUGGGAAGCUCAUCAAGUGACGGUAACUACCCAGAAAGGGACGGCUAACUACGUG